rnacentral:lncRNA from 1 species
GUGAGACCAAAACCUCAGGUCUGCAGUAUGAAAGCCGGAGCCUGUGGCAGGUAUCAACAAUGCUCCCGUGGAAAGGAAAGCUGUAUCUCUGUCCCAUCAAACUGUGGUGGAGAGCAGUGGACCAGGACUUGCCACUGGGCACAGAGAUGAUCCAGAGACAAGGGAGGACAUGAGGAGACCCUGGACAGGGACAAGGCUAGGAAAGGAGUGGAUUACGCUGCUUUACUGGAGGAUCAACACCACCUUUCAGCCUUUCCUCAGUUCAGAAGGGCACUGUAACACCCGUCUCCCAGCAGCAUCAGCAGCCAGAGGAGCCCCAAAACAGCUCUUCUCCUCCCAGCACCUGAUCUCAGUAUGUGGUCCAGACACAGGAUCCAGGAUUUUCCUCUUAUAUAAGGGAUGGCUUUACUUUACCCUGUUCCAGACAUCCAGAAGUUGCACUUCGGCUUCCUCUCAGGCACCAGGGAAGGGAAAUGUGCCUCCAAAGUGGGAGUCAGUCCAUCCCAGGAAGGUGCCAAGGAGCCAAUGAUGGACAUUAAAAUCCAGACAACAUAAACCCUUUGCACUGUGGUCUGCCAGUGUCCUCCAUCCUUUCUCAUGCACGGAGCACUCCACUCCAAAACAGAGCAUAGUCCCA